rnacentral:rRNA from 1 species
AUACGGAGGAUCCGAGCGUUAUCCGGAUUUAUUGGGUUUAAAGGGUGCGCAGGCGGCCAUUUAAGUCAGCGGUUAAAUCGUGGGGCUCAACCCCAUUCUGCCGUUGAUACUGGGUGGCUUGAUUGCGGUCGAGGUUGGCGGAAUUCGUUGUGUAGCGGUGAAAUGCAUAGAUAUGACGAAGAACACCGAUUGCGUAGGCAGCUGACCAGACCGCAAAUGACGCUCAUGCACGAAAGUGCGGGGAUCGAACAGGAUUAGAUACCCUGGUAGUCCGCACAGUAAACGAUGAAUACUUGUUUUCGGCGAUAUAAUGUCGGAGGCAAAGCGAAAGCGAUAAGUAUUCCACCUGGGAAGUACGCCGGCAACGGUGAAACUCAAAUGAAUUGACGGGG